UCCCUGUCCUGGCCCUGAACCUUUCCCUGGGCUCCCACGCUCUGCUCAGUCUCACCUAGGCCCAGCCCAUGUCUUCUCAGACAACCCAGCACCACCCCUCGACCACCUUCCACAGAGGGGGCUGCCCUUUUCAGCUCCCUUGCCAAGGGGCCGCCAGCAUUUCCAGGUCAGCUCACGAAUGGCAGUGUUCUCCAGCUCUUCUGUGUCAAAAACAAACACCCUCCUCCCAGCGCUGCUCCUGGCCGGCUGCCCCGCCCUCUGCCAGGCGUUUCUCAGAGGACAAGACCUAAUGAGCUGGCUGCUGCCAGCCUGGUCCUCACAGUUCAUCAGUAGGAUUCCAGACAGGCAUCAGGCUCAGGGACAGCGCAGAGACAGCUGCCUUCUCCUCUUUCCCGGAGGCACCUGAGACCUGAGCGCACCGAGGGGGCCGGUGCAUGGGCUGCUCCCAGUGAGCGUGAAGUUCACGCCCAGAAGUACACCCGCCACCAGCUGCAGCAGCACAGGGCAGAAGAAGAAAAGCCAUGUGAGGACACAGUAAGAAGGCGGACGUCUGUAGGCCAGGAAGAGAGUCCUCACCAGGACCCAACCAUGCUGGCACCCUGGUCCUGGACUUCUGGCCUCCAGAACUGUGAGAAAUAAAUUUCAGUUGUUGAAGCCAUCUGUGGUAUUUUGUUAUGGCAGCUGGAGCAGACUCAGACAAUCUUUAAAUACACAUACUUUCAGCAGUAGCUGGCAUGUCUGACCUGGCAAGAUGAACUGAUUGCACACUUAGGUAAACUGACUACUCAUCCCAGCAAAGCCCCUAACCCUGUAACCACCCACUGAACUGACCAGACUGGUGGCUUAGCCCAGCCUUGGACAGGCAGAACUUCAGCCUUGGACACAGUCCCUGUCAUCCUAAAGGAGCCUCCUUAAGGAGCACUUGUAGGACCAGAGAGAGUCAGAGUUAAUAGCAAUGAUAGUAACUUCAAUACUUUAUGUGGAGCAGCUGUGUACAAUGAGCUAGGGCUGGGACCAAGCAUUUUAUAUUCAUCAUCUUGUUUAAUCUGUGUUGUUACCUUGUGAAGAAGGUAGGAUUAUCUCGAUUUCACAGAAGAGGAAACUAGAGAUGAGAUUCCCUGUCCAAGUUUACACUGCAAGUACCAGAUGGACCAAGCUUCCAACCCUCCUCUCUCUGACUUUAAACCUUAUGCAUUCCAUUAAAAUUAAAGGAAAAAGAGU
rnacentral:lncRNA from 1 species